UCAAAGGUAGUAAUUUUAGAGAGGCAGGGGCAACCUUGGAACACAAUUAUAAAAUGGCUAACACUAAGAGUUUGGUAUUGUUUGGAUGAUUAGCCGCCGCCGUAUUGAGCGGUUAUGCCGCCGAUACGUACAAUGUGGGAGACGACCUCGGGUGGACGAGACCGCCUCUUGGAGAAGUAGCCUACCAGACAUGGGCUAGGGUUAAAGAUUUUGACGUCGGAGAUACCAUAACAUUCAGCUGGAGUGGAACACACAAUGUAGCCCAAGUGACAAAAGAUGGUUAUGACAGUUGCAAUGCGACAGGCAACUUGUUGAUAGGCCAAGUCCAGACAGUAAGCCCAUACAACUUCCUCAUCAACUCAACGGACCCUUACUAUUUCAUUUGCACCGUCCCCGAACACUGCGCCAACGGCCAGAAGGUUACAGUCCAAGUCCGCUCCUGGAACGCCGCCGCUCCCUCAGCCGCCUUCUCGUCUGUCUUCUUCGCCAUCGCCGCCUCCACUUUCAUCUUUGCAUCUCUUUUCUAUUAAGAUAUUUAAUUUUAUGUAUUUUUCAUACAAUAUUUUGUAAAUUGAUUCAUGUUUAAUAUCUAUGUGUUGUUUAAAAUCUAAUCUUUAAUAAAAUUGCAUUUUUAGUCAAA